rnacentral:lncRNA from 1 species
AUGUCUCCAUCUCAAAAACGACUGUAUUUUUGGGAAGGUUGCUUCAGAGUUCAUGUUCUAUUGGCCAUUCCACUGAUUCUGCAUCUCCUUGACAAACGAAUCUUGGGCCAAAAGUUCAUUGUGGGGACACUGUUGCUAUUCUACUCUUCAUACGUGAAGGAGUUUGGGUAUAAAAAGAACAAAAGGCAACAUUUGAAGAUAUCUCAGAAACCAUUCAAAAGGAAAAACCUUGAUGAUUAGUCAGUAAUUUAGGAGGGAAAAAGUGAAAGGUACUGGCUCUUCCCUUUCCAUGUUGUUAUGUCUGUUCCCCUGCCAUGCAAAAUUGGACGGAUCCUGUACAGUGAUUUAUCUAUAGAAUUAUAGGGUUUUUGAGCUAGAUAAGCCCUUAAGGAUCAUCUGGUUGACUCCCACAUUUUAUAUAUGAUUAAGUAAAAACCCAAUGACAUUCAAAUUGUUCAAGAUUUUACAGCUAGUAAGUGCCAGGACUGAAAUUUGAAACCAAGGUUCCAGACCUUUCUACCAGGCACACUGCCUUUCUGGUGCAAAUUCCAUUUGAGAGCUAAUGACAUAUCUACCAAUCCUUGACAUUUAGGCUGGACAGUAUAAGAUUUAAGUUUAGGAUAUUAUUAAUUCUUACUAACUAAAGUACUCAAGAAAGUGAAUGAUCUCAGAUUUAAGAUUAUAGAACUAAACAUGAAAAAAAUUGCCUGUAUCUAAAUAUGUUGCACAAAUGUAGAAGUGUAUAUCCUACAUUUCCUGUAACAGGCUUAUACAAUGAAUUCUGAGUAAGGUGCCUUAAGUCUAGUAAUUCAGAUUGUAGGUGAUUAAGCCCUCUGGAAAACUGAAUCGCCGUGAUCUUAAAUUUUUCUCACUGUAAAUUUAGUCUCAUUGCUUAUUAAAUAUUGCUCACCUUUUCCAAACCAAAUUAACAUCCAAAUUUUCCAUCUAAAAGAUGGCAUAUUUUAUCCCAUCAUCUUUAUUGCUGUUAUUUCCAGGCAUUCAUAAUUUUAUAAAAUGUUCCUACAACUGUUAACCCAAGUCACAGGCUUUAUCAGUCUGGCCCUAUUUAAAUUGUUUCCCCAACAAUUUCUAAGGUCCCAGGGUAAUGCCUCAGAAAUACUUAGGACUGGUCACCAUCUUUUACACCUGCUUCUUUGUCUUUCUUCUGGACAGGAAUGUUGACGGACACCACUCUCCUCCCCUGAUGACAACUCUUGAUGCAUCCCUACUGUGGCAAGGUUAGUCCCUCUCCAGAUUUUCCAUGUCUAAACUGUGGUGAAACCAUACUCCUUAAAAAACAUAUCUUGAAGAUUCCAGGAAAAGGAAAUUGAAAACAGAGAAUAACUUCCAACAGCCAAGAGAAGUAGAUCUUUAGAGUUAACAAGUCCAAACCCAAAAUAUGAAACCCUGCCUAAUUCCCAGCAGUCCAUCCCGUGGCAGGGAGGCAGCUCAAAAGGAAACAGGUUAACUCCAGGUAUCUCCUUAUCUGGGAGUUCAGGUUCCAUGCCCCCCAGCUUAAAGAAAGAAGUCCUCCAAAUUCUCUCAAGCCUAAGUUGGGCUUUAUCUUCCUGCCUGGAAUUUUCCUCUUCCCAGAUGUGGGGUGGUAGGAAUCCUGUAGUCUAGCCACUCAACAAUUGAUCUGGGCUUCAUAGCUUGAACAAAAUAAUCACAAUCGAAGGCAGUAUAUUUUCCAAAGUCUGGCUUGUGCAGUCUUAAAAUUACCUCAUUGUAAGAAAAAACUGCUUUAGAGGGAAACUAUGCAUUGUCUAGCCCAGAGGACACCCACCCCUCUGGGUUAUCUGAUUCUAAAGGGGCUAUUUUAUAAUGCUGUAAAUUAUUGAUGACUGAUAUCAAUGCAAAACACUUGUUUACAGACAUCAAAUUGUUUCCUGUCCAGUAGAGGGAUAGAGGUUCAAUUGACUUCUCUCUCCUGCUGUGAAAAAAGGCUCAUUUUGUUUCAAUUUGCGUAUUCAUUUCCCUAUUUCACAUCUAUAACUGUGUCUGUUCUUUGUAUUCUCCUUUGAACUGGCUGAUACCUUAGCAUUUUCCUUAUUAAUGAGUUAAAUAAAAUCUUUAAUACGUGUUCGUAUGUGUUGUAUAGGAGAGUCACGAUUUUACCAUUAAAAAAAUUAUCUUUAACGCCAUGUAUGAGACCCUGAAGUAUGGUUAGU